AUUGAACGCUGGCGGCAUGCUUUACACAUGCAAGUCGAACGGUAACAGGGAGCUUGCUCCGCUGACGAGUGGCGAACGGGUGAGUAAUGCGUCGGAACGUGCCGAGUAGUGGGGGAUAACGCAUCGAAAGGUGUGCUAAUACCGCAUACGAACUGAGGUUGAAAGUGGGGGACCUUCGGGCCUCACGCUAUUCGAGCGGCCGACGUCUGAUUAGCUAGUUGGUGAGGUAAAGGGUCACCAAGGCGACGAUCAGUAGCGGAUCUGAGAGGAUGAUCCGCCACACUGGGACGGGGACACGGCCCAGACUCCUACGGGAGGCAGCAGUGGGGAAUUUUUGACAAUGGGCGCAAGCCUGAUCCAGCCAUGCCGCGUGUCUGAAGAAGGCCUUCGGGUUGUAAAGGACUUUUGUCCGGGAGCAAAUGCUGGUGGCUAACAUCCACCGGAGCUGAGAGUACCGGAAGAAUAAGCACCGGCUAACUACGUGCCAGCCGCCGCAGUAAUAC
rnacentral:rRNA from 1 species